UACGUAGGGUGCAAGCGUUGUCCGGAAUUAUUGGGCGUAAAGAGCUCGUAGGCGGUUUGUCGCGUCUGCUGUGAAAACUCGGGGCUUAACCCCGGGCCUGCAGUGGGUACGGGCAGACUAGAGUGCGGUAGGGGAGACUGGAAUUCCUGGUGUAGCGGUGAAAUGCGCAGAUAUCAGGAGGAACACCGGUGGCGAAGGCGGGACUCUGGGCCGAUACUGACGCUGAGGAGCGAAAGCGUGGGGAGCAAACAGG
rnacentral:rRNA from 1 species